CAGCCGCCACGGGAAUACCGAGGGUGCAAGCGUUAAUCGGAAUUACUGGGCGUAAAGCGCGCGUAGGUGGUUCGCCAAGUUGGAUGUGAAAUCCCCGGGCUCAACCUGGGAACUGCAUCCAAAACUGGCGAGCUAGAGUAUGGUAGAGGGUGGUGGAAUUUCCUGUGUAGCGGUGAAAUGCGUAGAUAUAGGAAGGAACAUCAGUGGCGAAGGCGACCACCUGGACUGAUACUGACACUGAGGUGCGAAAGCGUGGGGAGCAAACAGGAUUAGAUACCCCAGUAGUCCCUGUCUCUUAUAC
rnacentral:rRNA from 1 species